rnacentral:pre_miRNA from 15 species
CAGGUGACAAGGGAUGUGCCUGGCUCCUUGUAUGCCACACAUGUAGACCGAUCCACGGGCGAUUGGUUACUGUGGGUGGUGUGCAAGGAGCCAAGCAUGCCUCUCUCUCUCUC